rnacentral:rRNA from 1 species
GACGAACGCUGGCGGCGUGCUUAACACAUGCAAGUCGAACGAUGAAGUUCCUUCGGGAAUGGAUUAGUGGCGAACGGGUGAGGAACACGUGAGAAACCUGCCUUUCAUUUUGGGAUAACUCCGGGAAACCGGGGCUAACACCGAAUACUGCGUCUCGGCGGCAGCGCCGAGCCGGGAAAAAAUUUGGAUGACAGAUGGUCUCGCGGCCUAUCAGCUAGUUGGGGAGGUAAGGGCUCAUCAAGCCAACGACCGGUAGCCGGCCGGAGAGGGCGAGCGGCCACCCAGGGACUGGUACACGGCCCAGACUCCAACGGGAGGCAGCAGUGGGGAAUAUUGGGCAAUGGGAGCAAGCCUGACCCAGCGAGGCCGCGUGAGGGAUGAAGGCCUUCGGGUUGUACACAUCUUUCAGUAGGGAAGAAUCGAAAGUGACGGUACCUAAAGAAGAAGCACCGGCUAACUAUGUGCCAGCAGCCGCCGUAA